rnacentral:misc_RNA from 1 species
AAAAAAGAGAGUAAAAAGUACGAUGGCCUUAAGAGAAAACUAAAGCCCGUUUCGAGCAUGCUCACAUACACUUAUUUCGUAUCGUCAUUAACUCAUCAAUUGAGUACAUAAAGUGCAAUGGAGCUUUAACGAUGGUGAAUAGCUGCAUCAGCCCUUGUGAGAUUCUUCUGGUUUCUUAUCGGCCUUCUCCUUCUCAGCUUCGGCCUUCGCUUUCUCCAGCUUCAAUUUCUCGGCCCUCUCCCUCUCCUUUUUCUGGAUGUAGACGGUCUCGGCGGCUCUCUCCUCCUCGCUGAGAAUCUUGCCGGAGCUGUAGCGGAGAGAGGUCAUCAGUGCCG